UACGGAGGUCGCAAGCGUUGUUCGGAUUCAUUGGGCGUAAAGGGUGCGUAGGCGGCGCGGUAAGUCGGGUGUGAAAUCUUGGAGCUUAACUCCGAAACUGCAUUCGAUACUGCCGUGCUUGAGGACUGGAGAGGAGACUGGAAUUUACGGUGUAGCGGUGAAAUGCGUAGAUAUCGUAAGGAAGACCAGUGGCGAAGGCGGGUCUCUGGACAGUUCCUGACGCUGAGGCACGAAGGCCAGGGGAGCAAACGGG
rnacentral:rRNA from 1 species